rnacentral:rRNA from 1 species
UGAGGAAUAUUGGACAAUGGGCGCAAGCCUGAUCCAGCCAUGCCGCGUGCAGGAUGACGGUCCUAUGGAUUGUAAACUGCUUUUAUACAGGAAGAAACCCCUCUACGUGUAGAGACUUGACGGUACUGUAAGAAUAAGGAUCGGCUAACUCCGUG